GCCCAUUCUGCCAAAGCCCACAUCCAUUUCCAACAUAUAAAUGCCUUGUAUGGUUUCCUUUUCCUCAUUUCCUUAUCUUCCCCUUUCUCAUUUUCACCCGAACAACAUAUUUCUUCCAAACUUCAACCUUCAUUUCAUUCUUCCGCUGCGUUGGGUCAUCAAUUGUGUGCCUUUACAUUCAGACCCGUAUCUCUGUUUAUCAGCUUUCGAAAGUUGAUUGCUUUGAGAUGAAGAGGUGGAAAUUCCUCCGGCAGGAUUACCCCACUGGUCGAAUUAUUCGCCAUAAUCGCCGCCAGUAGCAGAGAAAGAGAGUUUUUGCUGACCUAAUUUUUUUUCCUUUAUCCUAUUCAAACUCCACUUUAUGAAAAUACACUGAAUAUAUUAUUAUUGUUGUAACAUUUUGGUGUAUAUGAAUAUUUCUAUGUUUAUAUCAAGUAAAUAAACAUAUGGAUCUUUCAAUAAGAUUGAUGGUGUAAAGUUAUUUGUAAUGAGAAGUCUUAUUUUGUUUUUAA